rnacentral:rRNA from 1 species
UACGUAGGGUGCAAGCGUUAAUCGGAAUUACUGGGCGUAAAGCGUGCGCAGGCGGUUUGUAAGUCUGUCGUGAAAUCCCCGGGCUCAACCUGGAAUGGCGAUGGAGACUGCAAGGCUAGAGUUUGGCAGAGGGGGGUAGAAUUCCACGUGUAGCAGUGAAAUGCGUAGAUAUGUGGAGGAACACCGAUGGCGAAGGCAGCCCCCUGGUCAAAACUGACGCUCAUGCACGAAAGCGUGGGGAGCAAACAGG